CAGUAGCCGCGGGAAUACGAAGGGUGCAAGCGUUAAUCGGAAUUACUGGGCGUAAAGCGCGCGUAGGUGGUUCAUUAAGUUGGAUGUGAAAGCCCUGGGCUCAACCUGGGAACUGCAUCCAAAACUGGUGAGCUAGAGUACGGUAGAGGGUAGUGGAAUUUCCUGUGUAGCGGUGAAAUGCGUAGAUAUAGGAAGGAACACCAGUGGCGAAGGCGACUACCUGGACUGAUACUGACACUGAGGUGCGAAAGCGUGGGGAGCAAACAGGAUUAGAUACCCGCGUAGUCCCUGUCUCUUAUAC
rnacentral:rRNA from 1 species